CCUACGGGAGGCAGCAGUGAGGAAUAUUGGUCAAUGGCCGCUAGCCUGAACCAGCCAAGUCGCGUGAGGGAAGAAUGUCCUAUGGGUUGUAAACCUCUUUUGUCUGGGAGCAAAGUCCACCACGUGUACUGCUUGGCGAGUACCUUAUGAAUAAGCAUCGGCUAACUCCGUGCCAGCAGCCGCGGUAAUACGGAGGAUGCGAGCGUUAUCCGGAUUUAUUGGGUUUAAAGGGUGCGUAGGCGGGUUGUCAAGUCAGCGGUAAAAUUGUGGAGCUCAACGUAAUCUAGCCGUUGAAACUGGUGAUCGUGAGUGGGGUAGAGGUAUGCGGAAUGCGUGGUGUAGCGGUGAAAUGCAUAGAUAUCACGCAGAACUCCGAUUGCGAAGGCAGCAUGCUGGCGUCUGACUGACGCUGAAGCACGAAAGCGUGGGUAUCGAACAGGAUUAGAUACCCUAGUAGUC
rnacentral:rRNA from 1 species